rnacentral:rRNA from 1 species
UACGUAGGGAGCGAGCGUUAUCCGGAAUGACUGGGCGUAAAGGGUGUGUAGGCGGUUUAUUAAGUUAGAAGUGAAAGCCCGCAGCUCAACUGCGGGACUGCUUUUGAAACUGCCAGGCUAGAGUGUCGGAGAGGUAAGUGGAAUUCCUAGUGUAGCGGUGAAAUGCGUAGAUAUUAGGAGGAACAUCGGUGGCGUAAGCGCUUUACUGGGCCGUAAUUGACGCUGAGGAACGAAAGCCAGGGUAGCAAAUGGG